rnacentral:lncRNA from 1 species
UCAAACCCAGGGUAUCUAACAGAUGUUCCCUUUCCAGUUCGUCUCUUGAUCUGAAAUGCCUGCCUGAUUCCAACUUGGAUACCACUCUUUCUUGCCCUUCCUUUUUCAAAGCAGUUUGGACAUGUGUGCAAGUGAGCCCAGAACAGCUCCACCCAUAUUCUUUACCAAACUGUAAAUAAAAGAAGAACUAAUGAAGUAGAUUGGCAUAUAGAUUGCAUCAAGAGCCCGAAUCCCCAGUUUCUGGAUUCCCCAUUCAACUCUGGCUGUCAUCUACAUUGACAGAGUCAUUCUAAGCAGAGGCCCAGAGAAACCUGCAUUGUGGGACAACAGCAGUUAUACAGAAUUUCUUUUAACUUCUGGUAGCAAGUUCAGAAAAUGAAGCUUACAGCCACCCUGAACUGGAUACAUCUCUUGAGCUGACCAUU